rnacentral:tRNA from 1 species
GUGCCAGUAGCCCAGUUGGUAGAGCUUAACGUCGCGGGUUCGAUUCCCGCCUGGCACA